rnacentral:rRNA from 1 species
UUACGGGGUGUUGUGAUAAAUUAGUCGACGGGAGGUAUAGCUGUUACGAAGGGUUGUUUUCUUUAAACGGGUGGGGUGAUGAGAUCCCUUCUGUGCUUAUAUCAAGUAUUUACCUGUUUUUUACUAAGGCUAAGGUUACCUUUGUUUAAUGAUAAUGUUAAAAUAUCUGGUUUAUUCUGUUUAGAUUAAGUGGAGACCCUUCGUAGUCUAAUUGUUUGUAAUUAUCUAUGAGUUAAUUAGUAAUUAUAUUGAUUCGAAUCAAUCUCGGGCCUAGCCCAACUGUUUAUUAAAAACAUUUCUGCCUAUAAAUAUGGGCAGUAUGACCUGCCCGGUGUGGUAUUAACGGCCGCAGUAUUAUGACUGUGCGAAGGUAGCAUAAUUAAUUGCCCUAUAAUUGAGGGCUUGUUUGAAGGGUUUAAUGGGGUUAGAGCCAAGAUUUGGGUCGUAUGUGAACUUAAUGUCGUGGGUAAAGAAUCCACGAGGAUUAGUUAGACGGAAAGACCCCAGGAUCUUUCAUUUUGUCUGGGGCAGAUUAAACUUUUUUAGUUUAUUUGGGACCCUUGGAUUACAGAGUUAAGUUACCCUGGGGAUAACAGAGUAAUAGUUUAUAAGAGAUCUCAUCGAUUAAACUGAUUGCUACCUCGAUGUUGACUUGGGUAAGCUUAGGAGCGCAGUAGUUUUUAGGCACGGUCUGUUCGACCUGUAGACCCUCAUGAGUUGAGUUAAGACCGGCGUAA